CCUGCACUCACCAUGUGCUGAUGUUGCUGCUCUUUUGGCUAGCCCUGACCUAUCAAUGUUCCCUGUGAGAUUGCUUUUCUCUGUCUAGUCUGAUUCUGCUAUUGAUCCUGUUCUGGCAUUAACCUUUUCCAGCUCUGCCAUGACAUGUCUCCAUUGCAGAUUUUAAUUAUUCUCAUGUUCCUAAGUUGUCUGAAACCCUGCUACCUGCUGAGUUUUUUGGAACUGAUGUGAGAGCAGAAGCUCAGCUCUCCAGUAGUUUAAGGUGCUGUGGUAUCUUCCCAAUGCCAAAUACCCUGCCUAGUUAUAUCUGUCUGUAUGUGGAGACAGUAAGAAUGUCACCAAAGCAGAAUUAUAAAGCUUGUCCAGCUCAGUGGAGGAACAGGAGUGCCCGCAGGCCCCACAGCGCCAUGCUGUGGUAACACCUCUGCUUGGAAAGCAGUCAGCUCCAGCAGUGCGGGUUUGCAGCCAAAAGGAACCUCUUCAGCCCUGCCCCUUCAGGAUUCACUCCGUGUCAGUGUACGAGCUAUGCCAUUUGCUUGGGCACAUCCCACACGGUGCUAAGUGACAGCAAGGUGGAGGGCAGGACUGCACAGAGGUGUUUGUCCUUAAUACUUGCCUCCAUGGACAGAGGAUCUCCAAGCACUGGACAAACCUGCUGUAACCUACAGGGGAUAAACAGUGCCUGAUGGAGAACAUGGUGGACAGAGAAACGGGGGAUUCUGCAGAGGGCAGCUGCAGAGACUGUACCGUAGGAGCUGGGAGAGAAGAGAGGGAAUGGAUCCCUAACCCUGAAUCCCUCCCAUCCUGAUUUACACAAAUGUAACUGUUGGAGUCAGUGCAAUUACAUUA